rnacentral:lncRNA from 1 species
GAUGUGCUGGUCAGGUCCAUACAUUCCCUCUCACCAUUAAGGAGAAGCUGGCAGCUCUGAGUGGAGCAGGGUGAAGACAGGUACUGAACUGUGUGCUGGAGGCUGCUGUUGGCUACAGAAGGAGUUUAAGUGACCAGCUGAGGUCAACUUCUAGGUGGGUAAAGCCAGGUGAGAUGCAUACUACCUCUAGCAAAUGAGGAAUGUUGUUGGAAGCCUUUCUCUCUGACCUUCAGGAAAAUACAUGCUAAGAUGCUGCAGUCCAGCUGUCAGCCAGAAGGUUGCAUUCUCACUGAAAGUGGGUUUGAUACUUAAAGGAGAGAUGGAUAAUUAAGACUUCAUCCUCCAAAAUAUUAAAUAUUGAUUUGUAGACAUUUAGAAGCAGGCAUAAAGCUCUCCUGAGAACUGGCAGCAACUGUAAAAGAUUAUAAAAGAUUUUAGUUCUCCGUGUAGAAUUUAGUAUUUAUUUUUUGUUUAAAAUUUAUGAAAUGGGGGUAAAAUAAAUCAGGAGGUAACAUCUGGCCCUCUGAGCACCUCCAAGUCCUGCUCCAUGUGACCAUUCAGAGGCAAAAUGGAUGUAUGUUUUUUUUCAGGUUUGUAUUGGCUUUUGGUUUAUUGAAGUGUCAGGGGGUUUAUAAGCUCUUCAACUCCAAUUUUUAUUGUUUUAUCCAACUACUGUCACUUCUUAUCAGUAUUAAAGGCAGAAAUCAAAGCACAGGACCCAUGGGAAGCGGCGUUUCAAAUGUACUCCAUCGCUUUUCUUUGUCAUUGUUCUGAACUAUGCACCCUCUGCUCCUGACAGCACACCCACAACGAGAUAAGGAGUUUGUAUGAGUAUGCAUAUGUGUCUUCUGUGGGAAAAGGAGCAAUGGCUUGCCCCGCACACUGCCCACCAGAUUGGAAGAAGAUAUAAUGAAUGCAUCUUCUCUGCAUCACAAGAAAAAGGCUAUUUCAACUUAACAGAACAUUUCAAUCUCAGUCAAAAUGGGGCAUCUUCAACAUAAGGUUGUCUGCAGUCAUGCCACCUCAUGGUGUCAGGAAGAUGCCACACUCUGGUUGCACCACAUCCUACUGCCACGCGCUGCGUGCACACAGCAGUGUCAGCAGAAGAGAUGAUCUCUGCAUCAAACCCCUGAGCAUGGCCCCUCCAUCUGCAGCAUCGCGCCCUGCGCUCUGGCUCCCGCUUUGGGAUUUGCUCCCAGAAGUUGCGUCACAGAAGUCAUUGGGAAGUAAAAGGCACAUAGCCUGCAUUUCAUUUCUUUUAAAGUGUGACUGUAAAAGAUGGCAGCUUUUUUCUGGUUUCCCUCAAAAGAUCCACUCUGUUACUCAGGGCACGCAGCCUGAAAAGCGAGGGCUGGUGCUGUUCCUGCAUUACUGUGGUGUUACUUUUUGGCUUCCAUUUUCUGAAGGAAGCCAGCAAUGA